rnacentral:rRNA from 1 species
UGGGGAAUAUUGCACAAUGGGCGGAAGCCUGAUGCAGCGACGCCGCGUGGGGGAUGAAGGCCUUCGGGUUGUAAACUCCUUUCGACAGGGACGAAGCUUUUGUGACGGUACCUGUAUAAGAAGCACCGGCUAACUACGUGCCAGCAGCCGCGGUAAUACGUAGGGUGCGAGCGUUGUCCGGAAUUACUGGGCGUAAAGAGCUCGUAGGUGGUUUGUCGCGUCGUCUGUGAAAUUCCGGGGCUUAACUCCGGGCGUGCAGGCGAUACGGGCUGACUUGAGUGCUGUAGGGGAGACUGGAAUUCCUGGUGUAGCGGUGAAAUGCGCAGAUAUCAGGAGGAACACUGAUGGCGAAGGCAGGUCUCUGGGCAGUAACUGACGCUGAGGAGCGAAAGCAUGGGUAGCGAACAGG